GAUACUGCCUGGGUAACCAGGAGGAAGGUGGGGACGACGUCAAAUCAUCAUGCCUCUUACGAGUGGGGCAACACACGUGCUACAAUGGUCGGUACAAAGAGAAGCAAUAUGGUGACAUGGAGCAAAUCUCAAAAAAACCGAUCUCAGUUCGGAUUGAAGUCUGCAACUCGACUUCAUGAAGUCGGAAUCGCUAGUAAUCGUAGAUCAGCUACGCUACGGUGAAUACGUUCUCGGGUUUUGUACAAAC
rnacentral:rRNA from 1 species